UUAACUGGAAGAUUUAAGGAUACCCUAUUAACUACAUGCACACAAGAUGCAAAAAUUCAAAUUUUAUACUGGCGUUUGGGGUUGGAGAUUUCGAGAACAAUGACUUGUGGUCGUGGGAUUGGUUCAUUAGACAACACAAGGAAGCAUACACCGAGAGAGAUGAAAUGUGUUUCAUUUUGGAUCAUCGUGGAAACAUCGAACACACUGUCCAUGAGGUGUAUGCACGGAAUUUGUGCACGUCAUAGUUUAUAGAACCUAAUAUUCGCUAACGAUAAUUGUGGGAACGACAUAGCCAAGUCUUUCAACACAGCUACAAGGGUUUACUCAAAGCUUGAAGGCAUGAUGAAAUAUUUUCUCAACCCGGUAGGCCUAAGAAAACGAGGAGACGAACUAGUGUAAAGUGCUCAACAAUAUGUGGAAGGUGUGUCAAGUGUCAGGAGGGGACACAAGCGACCACUACCAGUUUUGUAAGAAUUCAUGAUAAAGGUGCAGUGUGUGUUAAUGACCAAUCUUAUUUGUUGUCCAAAGAGAUUUAUUUGACAUAUGCUUUGUAAAACCGAGUUAUGCAACGUUGAUGUGUGCACACAGGGGCAGGCUUGGCCCAAGGCAAGUGAGGCCACUGCAUUGGGCCUCAUAUUUUAGGAGGUCUCUAGUCCAAAACCACCCCUCUCUUGAAAAAAAAGGAAAAUUUUGGGCACAUAAAAGAGGUAAACGAACUACCUUCUCCAAUUCCAUUUCAAGUAUCUUCUCCACUCCACAGACAGAGACCACAUUCCAAUCCGGAAUUAAUCCCUAAAAAUAGAGUCCACCACUGCAAAAGUUUCGGCGGAAUCCACAGGUUUGCCUACUUCAGCAUUUUUGCACACAGAGAGUUCGCAAACGACAAAUCCUUGAAGCUGAUAUAAGAUCUCGCAAAUCCGUAGGUUGGUUUCCAUGUAUUUUAGCAAACUGUAAACCCUUAAAAAUCUUUCCAUGAUUUUCCUUUUUAUUGGGGCUUUAAGUUCAAAACGGCUAGCCUGGAAGAAUGUCCCAAAAUCUUUUUCACAUAAAUAAAGCAAAAAUCUUAUUUAAGGCCGGCCCUGGCCUGGGCCUCAUAUUUUAGGGGGCCUCUAGCCCAAAACUGACUCUCUCUUAAAAAAGGGGAAAAGGAGAAUUUUGGGUACAUAUAAAAGAGGCAAACGGACCGCCUUCUCCAAUUUCAUUCCAAUCAUCUUCUCCACUCCAUAGACCUAAGACCACAUUCCAAUCCGGAAUUAAUCCCUAAAAACUACUACUCUACUAGUCUACCACUGCAAAAGUACCGACGAAAUCCACAAGCUGGGUUGCUUCGACACUUUCGCACACAGAGAGUUCGCAAACGGCAAACCCUUGAAGUUGAUAUAAGGUCUCGCAAAUCCGCAGGUUGGUUUCCAUGUAUUUUAGCAAGCUGCAAAUCUUGGAAAAUCUUUCCAUGAUUUUCUUUUUUAUUGGGGCUUUAAGUUUAAAACGGCCAGCCCUCGAAAAAUGUCCAAAAAUCUUCUUCACAUAAAUAAAGCAAAAAUCUUAACAAGAAUUAAACAACUAAAACCACCUCCUCGAAAUCUCUAAAUUUCACUUUCUCAAUUCCAAAAUCAUGAGCAUAUUGCAGACAACGAAUGUUUCUCUCAAGUAUAAAAACGAGCAUAUGCAGUCGGUAUACACGUGUUUGUGUAUGUUGUGAUAUAAAUUAAAAAGUACCUGACAAAGAAUCAGAAACGGGUUUUGCUUAAUUUGAAGAAGGCUCUCUUGACCUGCAAUUUUGCAACAAGUCUGAAGUAAAAAGAAUUGACGAAUGCAAGCUUGUACUCCAGAUUAUCACUCAGAAACUAGAUGUUCAGUCUUCAGUCGUAUGGUUUUUAGGAAUUUGUCUAUAAGUAUUAAGUAUUAGGGAUGAUAUGUGCGGUCCAGGGUGUCAAGAGACUUGGGAAAAUAGAUUUUUGUGUUUUAGGCAUGGAAUGGGGAUAAAUGCAUCCGCCAAAAAGUGCAAUUCUACAGUAACAAUUCCUCCAAAGGAUAUAAAAAGUAUGAAAACAUAUGAUGAGAAUGUGAUAUUAUUACACAUUUUUUCAUUUCGU
rnacentral:lncRNA from 1 species